AAAUGCUGUCGCUUUGCGAGCGUCAGUUUAGUAUACUUGAUGAUUUUGUUGUGUAUUAAUCGCUACAAAUUUCUUUGCAGAGAAAUAUCUUGUGGAACUUUUUAAUCUAACAGAAUUUUUCUUUUCUGACAAAAAAAAACAAUUUCAAAGUAAAAUGCAGUUCAAUCCGAGAAAUAAUGCUACGUAAUAAUGCUACUAAUGAGUGCUUCAUUUUUAAAUAUGCCUUUAACUCCUACUACCGAAAAAGAAAUGGAAGUACAACAGAAAGUAGAAAAUUUGUUACAAAAUAUUUCUAAAAUGUAUUAGAAGUAGAAGAAGAGUCUCUGGAUUUUGAAAAUUCAUUUGACAUUUCGGAAACAAAUUUAAUAACAGACAAAGAAUGGAAUGAAGCAGAACAACCUACGUACAGUGUAAAGGAAAUGACAUGUAAAAAUGACAUGAUUCCAAUAGAAUACAAAAGAAGAGCUGUUGAGUUUUGGAGAUCUGAUGGUUCAAUUAAGCCAAAAUCAUUUGAGAGUGUAAAACAUAAAUUUCGAAAACUCACAUCACCGCGCAAAUUACGACGAUGGCAAGAACAAAUGAACAGAAGUGGUACUAGAUUGAAAAAGCUGAAAGAAAUUUCAUCGUAUACGUUAAAUAAAUUCGAGGAAGCAGUA